UACGGAGGGGGCUAGCGUUGUUCGGAAUUACUGGGCGUAAAGCGCACGUAGGCGGCUUUGUAAGUUAGAGGUGAAAGCCCAGGGCUUAACCCUGGAAUUGCCUUUAAGACUGCAUCGCUAGAAUCGUGGAGAGGUGAGUGGAAUUCCGAGUGUAGAGGUGAAAUUCGUAGAUAUUCGGAAGAACACCAGUGGCGAAGGCGACUCACUGGACACGUAUUGACGCUG
rnacentral:rRNA from 1 species